GCCUGGCUAGCUCAGUUGGUGGAGCAUGUGACUCUUGAUCUCGGGGUUGUGAGUUCAAAUCCCACGUUGGGUG
rnacentral:tRNA from 1 species